rnacentral:rRNA from 1 species
AGUGAACGCUGGCGGUAGGCCUAACACAUGCAAGUCGAACGGCAGCACAGUAAGAGCUUGCUCUUACGGGUGGCGAGUGGCGGACGGGUGAGGAAUACUUCGGAAUCUACUUUUUCGUGGGGGAUAACGUAGGGAAACUUACGCUAAUACCGCAUACGACCUACGGGUGAAAGCAGGGGAUCUUCGGACCUUGCGCGAUUGAAUGAGCCGAUGUCGGAUUAGCUAGUUGGCGGGGUAAAGGCCCACCAAGGCGACGAUCCGUAGCUGGUCUGAGAGGAUGAUCAGCCACACUGGAACUGAGACACGGUCCAGACUCCUACGGGAGGCAGCAGUGGGGAAUAUUGGACAAUGGGCGCAAGCCUGAUCCAGCCAUACCGCGUGGGUGAAGAAGGCCUUCGGGUUGUAAAGCCCUUUUGUUGGGAAAGAAAAGCAGCAGGUUAAUACCCCGCUGUUCUGACGGUACCCAAAGAGUAAGCACCGGCUAACUUCGUG